AGCGGAUGAAGGUAGCUUGCUACNNAUUCAGCGGCGGACGGGUGAGUAAUGCUUAGGAAUCUGCCUAUUAGUGGGGGACAACGUUCCGAAAGGAGCGCUAAUACCGCAUACGUCCUACGGGAGAAAGCAGGGGACCUUUGGGCCUUGCGCUAAUAGAUGAGCCUAAGUCGGAUUAGCUAGUUGGUAGGGUAAAGGCCUACCAAGGCGACGAUCUGUAGCGGGUCUGAGAGGAUGAUCCGCCACACUGGGACUGAGACACGGCCCAGACUCCUACGGGAGGCAGCAGUGGGGAAUAUUGGACAAUGGGGGGAACCCUGAUCCAGCCAUGCCGCGUGUGUGAAGAAGGCCUUUUGGUUGUAAAGCACUUUAAGCGAGGAGGAGGCUACCUAGAUUAAUACUUUAGGAUAGUGGACGUUACUCGCAGAAUAAGCACCGGCUAACUCUGUGCCAGCAGCCGCGGUAAUACAGAGGGUGCGAGCGUUAAUCGGAUUUACUGGGCGUAAAGCGUGCGUAGGCGGCCAAUUAAGUCAAAUGUGAAAUCCCCGAGCUUAACUUGGGAAUUGCAUUCGAUACUGGUUGGCUAGAGUAUGGGAGAGGAUGGUAGAAUUCCAGGUGUAGCGGUGAAAUGCGUAGAGAUCUGGAGGAAUACCGAUGGCGAAGGCAGCCAUCUGGCCUAAUACUGACGCUGAGGUACGAAAGCAUGGGGAGCAAACAGGAUUAGAUACCCUGGUAGUCCAUGCCGUAAACGAUGUCUACUAGCCGUUGGGGCCCUUGAGGCUUUAGUGGCGCAGCUAACGCGAUAAGUAGACCGCCUGGGGAGUACGGNNGCAAGACUAAAACUCAAAUGAAUUGACGGGGGCCCGCACAAGCGGUGGAGCAUGUGGUUUAAUUCGAUGCAACGCGAAGAACCUUACCUGGCCUUGNNAUACAG
rnacentral:rRNA from 1 species